GGGCGUGUGGUGUAGAAGUAUCACGUCUCAGACGUGACGUCUGCUUCGCAUGCAGAAGGCCCCGAGUUCAAUUUUCGGCAUGUCCA
rnacentral:tRNA from 1 species